rnacentral:pre_miRNA from 1 species
UUUGAGGGGAAUGUUGUCUGGCUCGAGGACACUUUCGACUCACCUCUCUGUGGAAGAGACCUCGGACCAGGCUUCAUUCCCCCCAAU